GUGCUCACUUCAGCAGCACAGAGUAAAAAUUGGGGUAAUACAGAGAUUAGCAUGGCCCUGAGCAUAGAUAACAUGCAAAUUCAUGAAGUGUUCCACAUUUUU